rnacentral:rRNA from 1 species
CCUACGGGAGGCAGCAGUGAGGAAUAUUGCGCAAUGGCCGAAAGGCUGAUGCAGCGACGCCGCGUGAAGGAUGAAGUCCGUAAGGAUGUAAACUUCUUUUGCAGGGGAUGAACGAUCCGCUUCUCGCGGACUUGACCGUACCCUGCGAAUAAGGAUCGGCCAACUACGUGCCAGCAGCCGCGGUAAUACGUAGGAUCCGAGCGUUGUCCGGAAUUACUGGGUGUAAAGGGCGUGUAGGUGGAUCUCAAAGUCGGUCGUGAAAUCCUGCAGCUCAACUGCAGAAUUGCCAUCGAUACUGGAGGUCUUGAGUGCGGCAGAGGGAGAUGGAAUUCAUGGUGUAGCGGUGAAAUGUGUAGAUAUCAUGAAGAACACCGGUAGCGAAGGCGGUCUCCUGGUCCGUAACUGACACUGAGGCGCGAAAGCGUGGGGAGCAAACAGGAUUAGAUACCCUGGUAGUCCACGCCCUAAACGAUGGGUACUAGGUGCUGGGCCGCAAGGUUCAGUGCCAACGCUAACGCAUUAAGUACCCCACCUGGGGAGUACGAUCGCAAGGUUGAAACUUAAAGGAAUUGACGG